rfam:Prochlorococcus marinus str. NATL2A, complete genome.
GCCCACCUGGCGGAAUUGGUAGACGCGCUGGUUUUAGGUACCAGUGGCUUUAUGUCGUGGGAGUUCAAGUCUCCCGGUGGGCA